AUCGAACGCUGGCGGCAUGUCUUACACAUGCAAGUCGAACGGCAGCACGGGUGCUUGCACCUGGUGGCGAGUGGCGAACGGGUGAGUAAUACAUCGGAACGUACCUUAUCGUGGGGGAUAACGCAGCGAAAGCUGUGCUAAUACCGCAUACGCCCUGAGGGGGAAAGCGGGGGAUCGCAAGACCUCGCGCGAUUAGAGCGGCCGAUGCCUGAUUAGCUUGUUGGUGGGGUAAAAGCCCACCAAGGCGACGAUAAGUAGCUGGUCUGAGAGGACGAGCAGCCACACUGGGACUGAGACACGGCCCAGACGCCUACGGGAGGCAGUAGUGGGGAAUUUUGGACAAUGGGGGCAACCCUGAUCCAGCAAUGCCGCGUGAGUGAAGAAGGCCUUCGGGUUGUAAAGCUCUUUUGUCAGGGAAGAAACACCGGCUCUAACACAGUCCGGGAAUGACGGUACCUGAAGAAUAAGCACCGGCUAACUACGUGCCAGCCGCCGCGGUAA
rnacentral:rRNA from 1 species